AAAAUAACAAUGAUUUCCCUAGUAACGGCGAGUGAAGAGGAAAGAGCUCAAAGUUGGAACCUGUUUGGCCUAGCUAAACAGGAUUGUAAACUGUAGAAGUGUUUUCCAGGCAAUCCGAGUUAAUAAGUCCUUUGGAACAGGGCAUCAUAGAGGGUGAGAAUCCCGUCUUUGAUUCGAGAUAUUUUGUCUUUUGCGAUACACUUUCAAAGAGUCAGGUUGUUUGGGAAUGCAGCCUAAAUUGGGUGGUAAAUCUCACCUAAAGCUAAAUAUUGGCGAGAAACCGAUAGCGAACAAGUACCGUGAGGGAAAGAUGAAAAGAACUUUGAAAAGAGAGUUAAACAGUAUGUGAAAUUGUUAAAAGGGAACCGUUUGGAGCCAGACUGGCUUGUCUGUAAUCAAUCUAGGUUUCGUGCCUGGAUGCACUUGCAGACUAUUUGCCUGCCAACGACAAUUUUUUUUGAGUGUAAAAACUAUUGGAAAUGUGGCCAAUAUUUAUUUAUUGGUGUUAUAGUCCUUUAGAAAAUACCUUGAAUUGGAUUGAGGAACGCAGCGAAUGCUUCUCUUUUGAGGCAAAGUCUUUUAUUGGGAUUUACGGAUCAGACUGUGGCAUUGUCACAAGACUUGAAGUUUAAACCUAUUUUUGAACUUUUAUUCGCUUAGGUUGUUGGCUUAAUGACUCUAAAUGAC
rnacentral:rRNA from 4 species